rnacentral:rRNA from 1 species
UACGUAGGGGGCAAGCGUUGUCCGGAUUUAUUGGGCGUAAAGAGCGUGUAGGCGGCCAGGUAGGUCUGCUGUGAAAACUCGAGGCUUAACCUCGAGCUGUCGGCGGAAACCCAUCUGGCUAGAGUCCGGAAGAGGAGAAUGGAAUUCCCGGUGUAGCGGUGAAAUGCGCAGAUAUCAGGAGGAACACCGGUGGCGAAGGCGGGUCUCUGGGCCGGAAUGACUGACGCUGGAGGAGCGAAAGCGUGGGAAGCGAACAGGA